UCCAGACUUUUCACCUGGGCAACAGUGCUGGACAAUGGAUUGCUGAAAGGGAAAACACCCAGUUGGCUACAUACUACAAGGCAACAGCAAACAUUAAGCCAAUCACAAAUGAUGGUUAAG